rnacentral:RNase_P_RNA from 1 species
UAUUUCGGGUAAUCGCUAUAGCAAUAUAGAGGAAAGUCCAUGCUCACACAAUCUGAGAUGAUUGUAGUGUUCGUGCUUGAUGAAACAAUAAAUCAAGGCAUUAAUUUGACGGCAAUGAAAUAACCUAAGUCAUUGGAUAUGGUUAGAAUAGUUUGAAAGUGCCACAGUGACGUAGCUUUUAUAGAAAUAUAAAAGGUGGAACGCGGUAAACCCCUCGAGUGAGCAAUCCAAAUUGGGUAGGAGCACUUGUUUAGCGGAAUUCAACGUAUAAUGGUUACCACCGACGUACCAGUGUAACUAGUACACAUUAUGAGUACAACGGAACAGAACAUGGCUUACAGAA